UGCAAGAAAGAUGAUGUUAGCAUAUUUUAAAGUGCUGUCCAAGAAUCUCGUGCCAGAAGACUCGGUAAUGCGAGAAGCGCAAACGUUAGUCGUAGAAUCUAGAAUCAGAUCGGGGAUAAUCAAAAUAAUACUCAGUUUAGGGCCUAUAUCCAUAGAAAUUGAGGGGAAUACUAAUAGGUGAAAGCUUUUUAUCUAAAACUGAUUGACGCUGAGAAACGAAGGUAGGAAUAGGAAAUAGGAUUUGAUACCCAGAUACCUCCUACUGUCAACGAUGAAUGGUGGCUGUCAGAUCCUGGUGGCGAUGCUAACGCGAUUACCAUUCCGCCUUGCGAGUACGGUUGCAAAACUGAAAUCAAAAAAAUUAGUCGG
rnacentral:rRNA from 1 species